CACACCCCACACACACACCCCACACACACACACACACACCUCGCCCCUCCCAGAGCUCGUGAGGUGAAGCUCCCACAGAACCCCGAGGAGCAGCCCCGGCUUCUCGCCCGCAGCGAGGAGCGGCUUUUCCAGAGCGCUCAGGAGCGCGGCUUUCCCUGGAGCAGAGCCGGGACGGGGCUUUUCCUCGCGCUUCAGCGCAUCCUGAGUGGACGCGCGCCCUGGAUUAAGUAAGGAAAAGACUUCGCAUAUCACUGAGGCUGAGCAUCGGGCAAGAUCUGUCAAGAGUCAAUUUUUGCCUAAAGAGACGUGUUUGGGAAAGAAAACACAGUUUUCUGCCUAAUUAGACAGGUUUGAGACAGAAAACACAGUUUUACAAAGGGACAGGUGAAUUAGCAAAGAAAACCACAAAAAAAAAGUUGAAAAUCACCAGCAUACCCAUAAAGACACAUUGUAGCAGGUCAGUUCUUUGCAAGAAUGUUGCUCCAGGCACCCUUUUGGUCCGGGAAACCUUGGACCGCUGUUACCAAUACAAGAAACGUUUUCUAAAUAUAUGCACAAAAAAAUUUUAAAUACCAGUGUUGAACCCCUACACCCACAGUUGUCUGUGUGCCUUUCACUACACAGCCAUGAGCAGUUAAUCCAAUGCUUCACAGCAGAUUGCAUCCUUCGUGUUAUCUGUUAAUUUAAUUUUGACCAAAACAUUUCUGCUCUUGAGCUGUUUUCUCUCAGUGAAAUCCCUUUAUUUAGUUGUGAACUAUCUCUGUACUUUACCGAGUACACUGAUUAUUUCUUAAUUGCAUCAAAUGCAACACUGAAAAGGGGUUUUUUUUCUUCUUCUUUUGGCCAUGUUUAUCGUAGGCUCUGUCAUAAAAAAAAUGUCAAGUCACUUUAGCCAAGUGCAGUUAGGGAGCAAUGUAUCUAAAUAAAAAUACUGUAAUAUAUCAGAACCAUAAAACAUUUUAGUACUGGGGCCCAGAAAACAUUAAUCAUUAUCUUACACUGUACAUGCUGCACACUUCUAAACCUUGUAUAAAAAUGCAAUUACUUGAAACAUCAUGUUACUUUGAGCAGGCACACAGACUUCAGCAUUUUUAAAGCAGGAAAGCAACAAAACAAGAGCAAGAGAGAGGCUGGACAGGUCUGCUUCUCAAGGGAAAGGAGUACUGAUCUGAUCCUUCAGCCACAGGCCACAUUUACCAAUUUAAUUACAAUUACUGUUUGCCAGAAGAAUCAUAAUGGAGUGUGUUAUUAAUUAUUUGUCCAUUCAAAUAUCACAUCCAGCCGGUUAAGUCAUCAAUAAAAUCAUGGCUUGAGUGGCAAAACAAACAAUGUGCAGAGCAAACACUUGAGAGCAUCCAUUUCUGGGCUAGAUGUUGUUAGUAAAGUUAUCCCACAAACAGCCAGACAGCAAAUACGUUCACUGAACACAGAAUUCACAGGGAACCACACUGAAAUAAUGUGGAUUUUUUUAAGAGUUGGGGUUUUUUUAUUUAUGUAAGGAUAUUAUGAAAGGCAAGAAAAUAACAGUGCAUUGUUCUCCAGCAUAAACCAAUCAAUUUAAAGCCAUGCAAAAUGGCUAAUACUGUUAUUGCUGUCCUUUUUCAUAACUCAGUGUCGUUUUAUUCAUCUUGCCCCUAAGAAAUGACCUUUUCUGUGCAUAUCCCCACCUUUUUCCACAAAUCCCCUGAGUGACAGAAUCUCAUCCUAAUCCCAUUUCCAUUUAGACGUUGCAGGAAAGCACUGUAGACCUUCGAGGGAAUAAGUAAUCAUAAUGGAAAGAUAAUAAUAUGUUUAUGAAAUCUGGAUUUUAUAAUAGCAAAUUGAAAAAUUACAAUAGCAUUUCAAGCCACCGAAGGUCAAUGUUACUAAGAGCAAAAAGCCAUUGAUCAAGUGUGUUUAAAGUUUCCCACUUUAGGUUAAUUUUUAACACAAAACAUCUCUAUUUCAGAGAGCAGCACCUCUCUUCUGAGGCAAUUCCUCAUCUACCUAGUGAGCACAAAACCUGGUGUUAAAGCCAGUGGUUGUUUGUAAGGCAAAAAAUAUACUCAGUGUUUUUCUACAGACCUAAAAAGCACAGGACAACUUCACAAGGCCCCUACAAAAUGCAUCACAGGCCACAGUUUAAGAACUCCAGCCCUUAGUAAUUCUUAAAGGUAAAAACAUAUGUAAAAUCUCAUAAAUAAAUAUAUCAAAAUACUACUUUCAACAUUAUGCAGCUGUACCUUUUUCUACUAGAGGUGAAUUUGCUUGCUUAUGCCUAAAAAGAGCACCAAAGUUGUACAUACAGAAAACCACUGAAACUUCACUGAGGUCCUAGAUAAAAAAAAAACCAAAAUCAACCAAAACCAAGCACUUAAACCAUGUCCUCAGCUAAUUAAGGAGUUUCCCCCUCUCUUUGAGCUUCAGCUUUCCACUGUUUUAAGAGCCAGCUCAGACACACCAACAGCCACUGGGACUAGGUGGAGUUUUCUGUGACUAAACCAGCAGUUGUUACCUGAAAAAGAUUUUCUUGUACUCCCGCUCCCCCUGAAGGGCUCAAUGCUGCUGCCAAGGGUGGUUGUGCUCCUCCCUUCACCCUGGUCCUGGCCCUGCAGCCCCUUCUCUCUUAUCCCAGCUCUGGUUCCCAACCAAUCCCCUUGUACCACGGGACAGUUCGUUCACUGAUGAAAAGCUAAUUGGGUUUUUUUUUUGCUGAGUUCAUUUUAGGCUGGCCUGACUUGCUGAAACUGUGACAACAAGCACCAGAGCUGACACGAAGAAAGCAUCAGGAGAGCACAUCCACACACCAAACCACCCCUUUUGGAGACAAGAUGUGAGAUCAGACGCUGCAAGAGCACACAGCAAUUUCUGCUUGCAACGAAAUACUCAACAGACCUUGAAACCCUCCGUGCUCCUGAAUUCUUCCAGGAAAAUUUGGGAGCGCCUCAACUGCUUCUGGGGUCGCAAAAUUCCUUCCAGCACGAGGAACAGUGCAAAUGCCAUCCUGGUCACCAGCUGCAAGCAGAAGGUUUGCAAAAGUAGAAGCAGCUCCAUGCAAAAGAAUGCAAAGGAUGAGGAGAAAAGAUUGGGCCAAUUGGCAUCACCAGCUUCCCAGAAAGGCUGCAGGGUAGAUGGGAUAA